UGACGCCAAACAAAUUUUCCUAACCACCCUUCAAAGUCCCAUCUUUCUCUAUAUUUCUCUCAAUAUGGCACUUAACAUUGCUCUCCUUGAUCUCUCUCUCUAUCUGUUUCUUUAUAUCGCACUUUACCUUGCAAUGCCUUCGAGGCGAUCUAUGGCUGAUGUGGGUUCUUUAAAUACAUCAGAAACUACCGUUAGAAGUUGGGAAGGACAUGUUCCAGCAACUACAAUUCUUGAUGGAGUUCUCAACGGAGUCCCAGUAGUCCAACCUACAGUAAAUCCUAAACCCAAGAAAGUACAAAGAAAGGACUUCCCUGCUGAUUUCAAGUUUGGUUGUGCCACUUCUGCUCUUCAGACAGAAGGAGCUGGUGAUGAAGGAGGGAGAGGACCAAGCACCUGGGACCGUUUUAUCCAAGAUGGAGUUGGAGAUAAGGACAUUGCAGUUGAUUCAUACAAUCAUUAUAAAUUGGCAUCACAGGAGGACGUGCAAUUGCUGAAAAAUAUGGGAGCAGACACGUACAGAUUCUCCAUUUCUUGGUCAAGAAUCCUCCCUGAUGGGACCGUAGCUGGUGGAGUAAACCAAGAGGGAAUCAAUUUCUACAACAGUUUUAUUAAUGAACUGAUAAAAAAUGGGAUAACCCCAUUUGUGACACUUUUCCACUUUGACUUACCUCAAGCACUGCAAGACAAAUACGAGGGCUUCUUGAGCAGGCAGAUUGUGGAUGAUUUUAAAGCCUAUGCUGAUAUUUGUUACCACAAUUUUGGUGACCGAGUGAAGUACUGGACUACCAUCAAUGAGCCACAAAUCUUUGGGCCCUACGGUUAUGAAACCAGGAACCCAAAUCCAAAACCUGCAACAGAUCCAUACCUUGCUACCCAUAACAUUAUAUUAGCCCAUGCCGCAGCUGUAAAACUCUACAGAGAAAAAUACCAGCCAACUCAAGGGGGAGAAAUCGGUGUUUCACCAAUGGUACAAUGGUUUGAGCCAUAUGGGGAUACUCUUCAUGAUAAAGAUGCAGCCAAGAGAGCAUUUGACUUCUUGGUUGGAUGGUUUAUGGAACCAUUAGUGUUUGGAGAUUACCCAUUCAUCAUGAAGGCUUUGAUAAGGGAUGGACUUCCAGAAUUCACAAAAGCAGAGAAGGAUUUAGUUAAAGGGUCCUUUGAUUUUAUUGGUGUCAAUUAUUAUACAUCUAGAUACACGCUUUCCCAACAAUUUAAUAAAGAUGAUAACUAUUCUACCUUUAGUCAAUACCAGUAUGCUGAGCUCAAAGUUGAUAGAAAUGGGAAACCCAUUGGUGAUCGGACACCAGGUAGCACUCAAAUGUAUAUCUAUCCACAAGGGUUAAGGGAUGCAUUGAUUUAUAUGAAGCAAGAGUACAACAAUCCCAAGUUCUACGUUACUGAAAAUGGAUAUCCAGAGAAACGAAACGAUACUAUCCCAAUAAAGACAGCAUUGAAAGAUAAUGCGCGAAUUAAAUAUAUUAUUAGUCAUCUUUUUGCUAUUUCAGAAGCCAUGAAGAAGGGGGUAAACGUAAAUGGAUACUUCAUGUGGGCUUUAAUGGACUGUAUGGAAAUGGGGUCAGGCUACACUGCUCGAUUUGGGCUUGCUUACACAGAUUACCUUAACAACUUGAAUAGAAUCCCCAAGAAGUCUGCAAAAUGGCUCAAGUCCUUUGUGGGACGUUGACCUUAAUAUGGAUCAGCCCAAAUCUCAUAUGCAGACCAAUUGGUGAUAAUUAAGGUCUGUUAUCAUUGUCUUCGCCUGCCAAUUUGGGUUCCUCUUACCAUUGUAGACCAGUGAUAAUAAGAUGGUAACGAAGUUCUCUUGCCCUUCAAAACAGCUUGAGGAGUAACGUCACAAGACUCACUACCAAAUCUUUUAGGGGUACAAUGUGAAUCAUGUGAAUAUAAUAUGCAUUUUUUAUAUGCUACAUUAUCAUAUAUUAGACAAUUUAAACAUGAAUCUAGAUGGUGUAUAUGCCAAAUGUGAACACAGCUCGUUUUAGAACUGGCAGAGCUAUCCCCAGGGGAGCGGGUUCGCCAUGUGGUGCCGAUCGAGCCAGAUACAUUUUGCAGAUUUGGUCAACUCAUUAUCACCAAUUCGAUAUUGAAAACCAUGUAACUCAUUGGAACUUGAUCAAUAUUUCUCCAAUGAGUUUGUCUCUUUUCUAAGUUGUCUUUUUCCUUUUCUGACAACCUACCAACACCCAUUUGUCAAGUGUAAUGUAAUUAUGUAAACUUUUUUU